UUCCCAGACCAGGGAUUGAACCUGGGCCACGGCAGUGAAAGUGCCAAAUCCUAACCACUAGACCACCAGGGA
rnacentral:tRNA from 1 species